AAGAACAAAUUUCAAUUGACGAGAUGACUAAAGCUGAUGCAUUUGAGGAGAAUAAGUCUAUGGGCAUGAAGGAACAAGAGCUUCCAAGUACUGCAGUCCAUCAUACAAGCCAACAAACUGCAGCUUCAGUAAUACCUAAACCAUUCAAGCCACCCCGGUAUAAACAAAAAGUUGCACACA